CCUCCGUGCGAUAUGUAACUGCGGCCCACGGCAAGAGCGUCGAGAAGGAGAGAGGAGAGGAGAGAGACGCUCACAACCUCGGCGGGAGGAGGAGGAGGAGAGAGCUGAGAAAUUGUCCAAGUCGGAUUCGUCCGCAUCGCGGGUCUCGCACAUGCGCGCUCUUAAACAGUCGUUCAAGGUGCGUGACGUCAUUUAUGGUCGGCCCCCAAUCCAAUAGCGGAUACAUUUCAAGAUCACACUCGCCGACUUCAAAGUUGUUCCGUGGACUCGUCUCCCCUCUCAUCUCGCUCUACUCCCUGCCACGCAAGCAAGGCUUUUCACAUCGAAGGUGCGUGACGUCAUUUAUGGACGGCCCCAUAGCGCACUGCGCUAUGAACCCAACCACCUGAGUUCAACUCUCGGCCACAGCGAACGUCAAUGGCGAGUGAUAAUUUGAACCAGUCCUGGUCUCAAGCCCCCCUUCACCAAACGGUACUGACCAGCGUGGUGAAGUAUGGUCAAAUAACCCCCGUGACUGACGCGGCGUGGAAGAGAGGCCUUCUUCAAUCCGAUAACGGAUUGGCAGCAGCACUGUGAGCUGGAUCGUGAUGCUCACUUGCAACUGUGCAUAUCUGACCCGGUUAUAAUUAAAAUACAUCAAUGACCUGGCAAGCACUACUACUAGUGACUGGCAGCAGGUUUUCGGCAAAAUUCAGAUCGGUCACAGUGUCUGACUCCACC